rnacentral:lncRNA from 1 species
GUGAAGAUCGGACGCAUCCAGGGAGUGUGGGCAUCGAUGGAUGGCAGCCAGGAUCAGAAGGGAUGGAUGCACGAGAUUAGAUGCCGAGGCCGAGGACGGAUGCACGGGUGUCUUCUUUCCUUCCUCAUUCUCUUCGCCAGUUUUUCCCUGUCCUUCACAUCUUCCUCCCUUCCUUUUAUCUUACUGUGAUGCCCAUAGGAGGAUGAGAUAAGAGGAGGAGAGGCAUUUAAUGUCUUUGUCAGGCUCAGAUAACCUAGGGCAACUCUCGUAGCAUAGGCACGAUGGAUGACGUACAAUCAGAAAUGAAUGAAAUGC